GAAAAAUGAGAAAUUGGAGCUUCGAGGCAUGAUGAUGCACAUGGGAAGACCGGCAAGAACAAGAUUUUUGGUAAAUAGUAUUACAAGUAACCUUUUUUAUUUUCUUCAUGUUAAAGAUCAGAUUUCAUUGCGUAUAGAUAAAUUUCAUGCAGUGACGGAGCCAGGAUUUUCAUUAAGGGGAGUCAAAAUAUAAAGAAACAAACUCACCAAGAAGUCAAGGGGUGUCAUUAUAUAGUAUAUAUACAUAUUUUUAAAAAUAUUACCGAGCUAAACAAUAUAAUUUUCCGACGAAGGGGUAUCGGUUGACAUCCCUUGGGUGCAAGUGGCUCCGCCACUGAUUUCAUGAUACUAUAAUUAACGUAAAAGAAUUAAAGUAAACUCUUUUAUAAGUAUUCUCACAUUUUCUAAUUAUUAUAUUAUCCCUCAAAUAUUUUCUUUUAUUCUAUUUAGAUUACUACAACUGAGCAAUAGUAAUGUGAUUAUAUGAAGUUGUCAUGAUUUACUAUUUACAUGGUAACAUCAUAAGUUUGAACUGUUUUGUUACAUAUUUUUUAAAGUCUGUAUUAAUUAUGUGAAAGGAUAAAUAAUUUUGAAGUGUUAGUGGAACAGAAAGAAACAAGAACUCUAAAAGAAUUCGAAUAGACACUUUUUCCUCCAUGCUUAUAUGUGAAACAAAAAAAUUUAUCUUGAAACAAAAGAAGCAAUUUUGAAUGUUUUCUCGGAGAAAUAGGAGAAAAUAAAACUUUCAUAGACAUGAAGAGGGUGAAGGGAUGGGCCAAAGCUUCUAUCUUUUUCAGUAACGUAGAAAAGAGGAAAGAAAAAGGAAGUAGCUAUAGGAAAAGAAAGAAAAAGAAUAAAAAAUGAUAGACGAUACAAGAGAUAGUAUCAUUUUUGCUCGGAUGAGUACCUUAUUAAUUUAGGGGAUGAAUAAUAUCAUUAUUCAAUUGGUAAUAUCAUUAUUUCUUUGUACUUUUUUUACUAAUAAUUCCUUUUUUUAUUAUUUUCUUUGUAAUAUUUUCCUUGUACAUUUUAAUUUUUCUUCAUAUACUUUUGCAUAUUGUAUUUUGUGUGUUUCGAAAAGGUUUUAGAUCAAUAAGCAAUUUCAUAAAAGAAAUGCUUGAAGUAAUCCUACAUUUAUUUUGGUACGAGCUGAGAACACAUAUUAUCUUAUAAUAGAUUGACUUUAUACAUUUCCUUUGUCCCUUCAUAUUUUUUCCAUCGUUUUAUCAUAUAUAAUUAUUAUUUUUUUGGAUUAUUUUAGAAUUUUUUUCACCCAAUCUAUUAUUAUCAUGUAAACUACUACACCAUUUUCAUGAUAGACAGACAUAACACCAAUUUUUCUUUCUCUAUGAUUUUCUACGGGUUUCUUUGAUUUUUCACCGUCAAAAACCAAAAUUCACCGUACAAGAAAAACACACAACGCUUCAAAAACAAUCGUUUUUUUUAUAACAGAUUCUUUACUCUCUCUGUUUCUCUUCUUCCCUCUAUCUAUGUAUUCAUCGUCCUUUGUCUUUCUAUUUUCCUAUUGUCCUUUUUGUUUGCCUUUGCUGAAAUUCCCUAUACUCCUCCCUCUUUUCUCUUCUACACUGCUUUUGCUACACCUUUGUUGAUUUACUUUAAUUCCUUAGCUAAUUUCUAAAUUAUUUCCUCACCGCCGUUUCCAUUUGUGUUUUUCACUUACUUGCACUUUGAUUUUUGAUUAUGCUCUGUCUUUGACUUACUCCUUCGCCAGCGCAGAAGAAUUGGAUAACGACUGCUUAUUUUGACGCCCAUGAAGCGUUCGUAAAUAUGCCCCAUACUUGAUCUUACCCACAGAUUCAGAAAAUGCUGCAAAUUUAAUCAACACUUGCCGGUCUGUAAUCCUUUCAAAGUUAACCUUUACCAACUGCGCCUUCUUUGCAUAUCUUUUCAGCAUUUUAAAUGUUAGACCCUUGAAGUUUAACAAUUCAGUUGAGCACAUGAUUUAUUUUUCUUUUUACGUUGAUAGAUGGUAGUGCAAACGAACAAAAGGCCGUGAAAAGAUUCAGUUUGGCCUUCUCCAUUCGUAUUUGAGGUACGUUCCGAAGAUUCUUAACUAUUAUUAUGCUUUUUGCACAAUUGAUAACCAAAAGUAUGAAGAUUCUAAUAUACAUUACUUUUUCAAAAUUGAUAACUAACGGUGUGCCUGAUAUGGAGUACCCGAAUUUUACUUUACUGAUACUUUAAUGGUUAAAGAGUUCGUCAACGAUGUUGAUUAUAGUCUACUGAUAUGGAGUUUAGACUAUAUUAAAUUUUCAUUGUAGCCUCAUAUAUUGGUAUUCAAACUCAAAGCAUUGCGAAUUAAUUUUUAAAAUAAGAUCUUCUUGAUGUAGACACUGAGACACGUAACUUAAAAGGUUAAAGGAAAAAAAAUUCAAAGUCAGAGAGCAUUGGUGGAGGUUAUAAAAUCAAUAAUACUCCAAAAUAAUCAAGAACCAAACAAAAUCAACAUUUUUCCUAUAAAAUCUACUCUGCUCUACCAAGGUUCUUUCCUUAUUUUGAUUACAACAAUUUAUUUUCCUGUCAAGAACACGCAUUUGAACUAACUUGAAAUCUGUAAGAAAAAAUGCAAUAAAAAACUUCUAAAACUUUUAUAAGAAAUUUAAACCUAAAUGCAUGGGAAAUAUUUUGUAUCUAAGAGAACCUUUUUACUUUGCAGAGAACCAAUAACAUUUCCAAAUGAGUAUUAAGGCUAGAAUAUCGGAUAUGAAGUAAUACAGAUAAUCAUGACAUAAUUUUAUGCGGCAUAAUUGAUUGCUUAAUUGGUCUACUGUAAAUUGAUUGUUAUUUAUCCCUAAUCAGUAGCAAUUUUUUUACCUUCUUAACUCAACUUGAUAAAGAUUUAUCAUAUAUGUGUAUAUAAUAUAUUUAUGGGUGAAGAAAAUUAAGGAGGAAGAAAACUAACUACCCUGCAAUGAAUAUCCAUAUAAAUAGCAAAUUGGAAAACAACUGAAGGAAAAACCAAUGAAGAUUAAGACUCACCAACGGUUGUAGCAGCGAUGAAGGGAUGAGCGAAGGUAGUUAAAAUACUAAAUCGACAUCAAAGAAAUAGUGCUAGAAAUAAGAGAGGAAAAAAAAAGCACAAAAGCCAGAGAAGAAGAUGCUCACAAAAAUGCACAUAUGAGGCGAUAGGGAGAGUUAAGUGCAAUCACUCAUUAUUAACGGUUAGGGAAUAUUUUUUUAUUUUAUUUAAUAGUGAUGACUGAUGACCAUUGAACUUAUUUUUAUGUCUAUAAAUGUUGAUUAUAGUUUACUGAUAUGGAGUUUAAACUAUAUUAGAUUUUCAUUGUAACCUCAGAUAUUAGUACCGGAUAGAUCCUGGUACGUAUUAUUUUCGUUUUAUUAUAUAGAAUUCUUGCUAUAGUAGUAUUAUUAUACCGUUAUCCUCUGUUGUAAAACCCAAAAGCCUCAUUAACUCUGACUGUUUCUUGGUGAUGUUUAAAUGGAUCUUCCGCUCAUCCAUUCUUCUUCUUAAAGUCUGAAUGUGUUUUGUUCAAUCUGUCAUUUUGUUGACAGGUUAGAUUAUCCUCUCGCCCGACUAGGUAUCUGGGACGUGACGUUGCAGCUCUUUAAGAUGUUGCCAU
rnacentral:lncRNA from 1 species